GGGUGGAUAAUACACUGUAAGAGAAAUUCCUUUCCUAUGUAAUGGAAAAUUUAGUUAUUAAUCUUUCUUUUGGGUUGGUACAUUUGGCUGACCCCUAGCACAUGGACUAACAUGAUGGACCUGGUACAUGAAUUACUUGAAUGAACUACCAAUGGACUACCUGAAAUUUAAACCCCUAAAAUUUCUAGCACAAAAGUUCUACAGUUAAGUUUGAGAAUCAGUUUGUCUGCGUAUGUUCCAAUCUUCUAUGAACAAUUUUUAAACGUCAUCGCUUCUGCAUGCAUUGCGUGUGCAUGGUUUAUUCUAAUGUGUUGAUUAAAUUUGUGUCACUCAGGACACAAGUGCUUGAUGGUGAAACAACUCAAACUGGAUCCUAAAGACCAAGAGCUCUCUUGGUUUUCAAUUGAUGGUGAGCCAUUUGAGGCAAAGUCAAUAACAAUCAGCCUUCUUCCAAACAAGCUUCACUUUUUCUUCAUUCCAAACAAGACUCAGCAUAGCUGAGACAAUAUAUUGUUGAUGGCAAAUCCAUGGGACAUGUGACAUUGAAUAAAGAACACAGAAUGACUGCCUUUUAACAAAGUUUAUUAUUAACUCAAAGUAAAUAGGUAUUUCUAAAAAAUACUAGAAUUAUUUCAUACUUUAGGUGGCAUUUAUCCAUUAUCCAAUGCACACCAUACAGUUUUUCAAAACAACGCAACUUACAUGUAUGAGAUAGUUGCAGAUUAUUUACUGCAAUUAAACUCAUUUGAUAAUAAAUAAAAUAAUGGAACCAAACAUGUCUAAAAUUUGCAUUCAUUUGAUGAAGUCAAUGGAUAAGUCUUAAUUUAAACUGUAGCACACUGUAGAUUGAGAUACCUUCAAUUUUUUUUGUAUAGCACUACAAAAACAGUGCUAAAAGAUAUUGAGGUACUAUUACAAGAUUACUUAAAAAAAAUUAACAGUGGCCCAGAGAUUUUCCAAAAGUGUAAUUACUACCAAGGAAAUGCAAGAUCAAAUGGCCAAAAUGAAGCCAUACAUUCCCAUUGAAACAUCCUGACAUUCCUAACAUUCAUUUUAAUAUAUGUUAAGUUUUGAAAAACCAACACUGUAUGACAUACUAGGUUGUAAAUAUAUUUAAAUAUUAUCAAUAUUUCCUUUGAUAGUAAUUUGUUGGAUAAAUUUACAGUUCUACAUGGAACCUAAGUUCCUGAUAAUUUCUUCCUGCAGUUUGAUCUUGCAUUUGGCUGGUGGUUUGCUGUUACAUGUUGCAUACCUUUCAUUUGUUCAUUUCAAUGCUUCUUUACAAGGACAAGACUACUAAAAGGCUA